AAUGAACGCUGGCGGCAUGCCUAACACAUGCAAGUCGAACGGACACACGAGGAGCGUUCUCCACUGACGGUGGCGGGGGGCGGGUGGGUAAGGCAUGGAUAACCUACUUAUAAGUCUGGGAUAACAACGGGAGACCAGAGCUAAUACCAGCUAAUAUAUUGAACGGGAGAGUGCAAGGGUUCAAGAGAGUUUUGCGGUCGCUUUUAGAUGGAGUCGCGUCGGAUUAGCUAGUUGGUGAGGUAAAGGCUCACCAAGGCAACGAUGCGUAGCCGAUCUGAGAGGAUGAUCAGCCACACUGGAACUGAGACACGGUCCAGACUCCUACGGGAGGCAGCAGUGGGGAAUCUUGGACAAUGGGCGCAAGCCUGAUCCAGCAACGCCGCGUGCGUGAAGAAGGUCUUCGGGUUGUAAACCUCUGUUGUUAGGAAAGAAAAGCUGUGUGAUAAUCCCCGGCCGUCUUGACGGUACCUAAAGAGUAAGCCCCGGCUAACUACGUG
rnacentral:rRNA from 1 species